AUUGAACGCUGGCGGCAGGCCUAACACAUGCAAGUCGAGCGGUAGAGAGGUGCUUGCACCUCUUGAGAGCGGCGGACGGGUGAGUAAUACCUAGGAAUCUGCCUGGUAGUGGGGGAUAACGUUCGGAAACGGACGCUAAUACCGCAUACGUCCUACGGGAGAAAGCAGGGGACCUUCGGGCCUUGCGCUAUCAGAUGAGCCUAGGUCGGAUUAGCUAGUUGGUGAGGUAAUGGCUCACCAAGGCUACGAUCCGUAACUGGUCUGAGAGGAUGAUCAGUCACACUGGAACUGAGACACGGUCCAGACUCCUACGGGAGGCAGCAGUGGGGAAUAUUGGACAAUGGGCGAAAGCCUGAUCCAGCCAUGCCGCGUGUGUGAAGAAGGUCUUCGGAUUGUAAAGCACUUUAAGUUGGGAGGAAGGGCAUUAACCUAAUACGUUAGUGUCUUGACGUUACCGACAGAAUAAGCACCGGCUAACUCUGUGCCAGCCGCCGCCGUAAUAC
rnacentral:rRNA from 1 species